UACGUAGGGUGCAAGCGUUAAUCGGGAUUACUGGGCGUAAAGCGUGCGCAGGCGGUUGUGCAAGACCGAUGUGAAAUCCCCGGGCUUAACCUGGGAAUGGCAUUGGUGACUGCACGGCUAGAGUGUGUCAGAGGGGGGUAGAAUUCCACGUGUAGCAGUGAAAUGCGUAGAGAUGUGGAGGAACACCGAUGGCGAAGGCAGCCCCCCUGGGUCAAGAUUGACGCUCGAUGCACGAAAGCGUGGGGAGCAAACAGG
rnacentral:rRNA from 1 species